GGGGAUAUAGCUCAGUGGUAGAGCAUUCGACUGCAGAUCGAGUGUGUGGUCCCCGGUACAAACCCGGGAGUCUUAUUCUUCA